UCUUCCGGGCGACCCGCCCUUUAAGAAAUUAGAAAAUUCUACAAUAAAACCCGAAAAACUGAAAAAAAAUGAGGCAACUUUAUUAAUGAAAGCUCUCACGCUACCCACCGUAAAUAAACACGUCCCUUUAGUUGGAAGACAGCGAAAGACAGCGAAGUACCUCAGAUCAUUCAUGGAAAGCCAUCUUCUAUAUUAAAAAUGCCACAGCAACUACAACACAAGAAUUCAUAUGGCAGUAGAAUGAGCAUCGGGCAGAAGCGAUAACGCCUCCGGAUUCAAAGUGUGUUCAACAAGAAGGUGA